AUGUGGCACUUCCUCAUUUGAAAGGGCAAGCGGAGGAAGAGGAGACUCUGAAACCAGGAGGCCUCUGAAACCAGGAGGCCUUUCCCAAGUAAGGGCCGAAAGGAAGGAAGCAAAUGAGGUGGAUAAAGGAUGGCAACUCAGCUGCAGGGGUGUUGCCGGACAGUCCAGAGGCUCAGCUGACUAAAGGUUCAGGGCUAGGGAUUGAACUCAGGGCCCUAUACGCAUGAGAAGUGCUCUACCAUCAAGCUGUACUCCAGUUCCAUGGUAUCUACAAUCAAAGACUGUCACAAAAGUUCUCACUCUAAGGACAUCUUGGUGCUCUGACCUUGGCACUUACAUGGCAGACAAUUGUUGCUGCGGUUGCUUUGAGCCAUUUAUUAUCCUUGGUGACUCUCUUGGCAUAUAGUGAAUACCCCAAGAGCAGAAAGAGAAGGGUAUGUGUCCAUUUACUCAGCAAGCACGUGGAAGCAAUUCUGGGUUAUCACUGUCCUGGACACUGAAAUUACGAAUGUAUUCGACAUGAUCUAUAGUCACCAAGAUACUGUCUGCAGACAACUGUGUCCCUUUAGUUUAAGCCGGAUAGCUUUUAUUAUUUUUAUUUAUUCAUUCAUUCAUUAUAAUAGCAUCUUGGGGCAGGCAGUGCUGGCAUCUAUAUAAAGGCAGCAACAAUGUAACUAAGCGCUGGAUGGACUAAGGAAGUAGAUCAAGGGCUCUGAGACAUUGGCUUGGAAGCCUCAUUGACACAGGUUGAAGAAGCAUGCACCUACCGAGGUUCCCAAAAGAUGCCAUCUUCAUUGCUGGCGUCCAUUUGAAGCCUCACACAGCUGAUGGAACUGUAGCACAAACCUGCAUUCCAGUUACAAGAAAGUGUCAUGGGAGCAUUCAGAGCUUUCCGAAUCCACCAAGGGAGCAAACUGUAAGGGCUUGGAAUGGGCGGUUGAAUGUUAAACUACAAAAUCCUUUCUGUUACAGAACUCCAGCCUGGGGAGAGAGUCAUGAAUGCAUGCAAACAUCACAGUCAGAGUGGUACAGGUGAGCUACGAAAGCCAGAGAAAUGAUUCCCGAGCCAGACGAGGGCCUGUGCACAAAAGGGAGAGCUUUGCAGCCCCAGGAAGGUUACUUCCUUUGCUUGCUGUGCUUGUUUGUAUGGUACCAGCACAUCCUAUGUGCUAGGCAAGUAUUUCCCCACAGUAGGCCAAGUUUAAAGUCUUGGUGAUAUGGAAGACGACUCAGCAGGUAAAGCGAUUGCCACCUAAGUAGUAUAAGGAUGGAGUUCAGAUCUCCAGCGCCCGUGUAAAUGUUGGGUGGGUGUGGUGGCCUUCCUGCAAUCUCAUUACCCCGGAGAGGAGGCCGAGGAUUCCUGAGGCAAGCUGGCUAGCUAGCUAAGCUGAAUCAGCCAUCUCUAGGUUUAAGUGAGGGACCUGACAAGCUCUGAGUUCAACAGAGAGACACUGCCCCAAUACAUAAUGUGGCAGGUAAUCAAGAAAGUCACUAAACACCAACCUCUGGCCUCCACACGAUACGCACGCACAGAUGUGUGUGCCCACACACUUGAAUUGAUACACCUACACACAUCACACCCGUCCACAGCAAAUAAAGAUAAAACGUAUCCUGAAGGUACUGGGCAGUCACGCAUGAUUUAAGCAGGUGAGUCAUUUGGUCCUGUGUUAGCUAUGGAAAGACCUACUUGGUUUUGAGAAGGGCAAGGCUAACAGGAAAGAAUGACAGUUAAGAGUCUACUUCCUCCAGGAAGAGAUGCUAUGACUCAACCAAGGAGGUAACAGUAAGGCUAAGGCUGGCAGACACAAAUGAGGACUAGCAGAAGCCAAUGGCCAUUGCCAACGGCCUGGUCUGGGUGGCUGGGACUGCAGUAUGCAGCAGCAUCAAGAGGUAUAUCUAACAGGAUAUAAGCCUGUGGGGAGAAAGCAAAGACUCCAGUCUCUAAUACAGAAACUCGGAAGUGUGGUGGCUUUAUCCAAGUCCAGAUGGCUAGAAAACAGUUGGGCUGUCCAGCUCUGGAACUUGUAUGGCUUGGGUUGUGUAGUCACCACCUUCUGACUUUUGCUCCUCCCCCAUUUCAUUUUAAAUAAAAUGUCUUUCAGAGAAUUCA
rnacentral:lncRNA from 1 species